UACGAAGGGGGCUAGCGUUGCUCGGAAUCACUGGGCGUAAAGGGUGCGUAGGCGGGUCUUUAAGUCAGGGGUGAAAUCCUGGAGCUCAACUCCAGAACUGCCUUUGAUACUGAAGAUCUUGAGUUCGGGAGAGGUGAGUGGAACUGCGAGUGUAGAGGUGAAAUUCGUAGAUAUUCGCAAGAACACCAGUGGCGAAGGCGGCUCACUGGCCCGAUACUGACGCUGAGGCACGAAAGCGAUGGGGAGCAAACAGG
rnacentral:rRNA from 1 species